rnacentral:tRNA from 1 species
GCGAUGGUGGUAUAGUGGUUAGCAUAGUUGCCUUCCAAAGCAAUUGACCCGAGUUCGAUUCUCGGCCAUCGCA